CCUACGGGUGGCAGCAGUGAGGAAUAUUGGUCAAUGGGCGCGAGCCUGAACCAGCCAAGUAGCGUGAAGGAUGACUGCCCUACGGGUUGUAAACUUCUUUUAUAAAGGAAUAAAGUGAGGCACGUGUGCCUUUUUGUAUGUACUUUAUGAAUAAGGAUCGGCGAACUCCGUGCCAGCAGCCGCGGUAAUACGGAGGAUCCGAGCGUUAUCCGGAGUUAUUGGGUUUAAAGGGAGCGUAGAUGGGUUGUUAAGUCAGUUGUGAAAUUUGGCGGCUCAACCGUAAAAUUGUAUUUGAUACGGGUAGUAUGGAGGAUGGGAGAGGUAGGCGGAAUUCGGGGUGGAGGGGUAAAAUGCGUAGAGA
rnacentral:rRNA from 1 species